rnacentral:rRNA from 1 species
AGGGAUACCGGGUAAGGUAUCCCGCCGCACGGCUGAGUAACACGUCGGCAACCUACCCUCGGGAGGGGGAUAACCCCGGGAAACUGGGGAUAAAUCUCCAUAGGAGAUAGGUGGUGGAACUCCCCUAUCUCCGAAAGGGAUGAUGGUAAUCCUCCAUCAUCCGCCCGAGGAUGGGCCGGCGGCCUAUCAUGGUAGUUGGCGGGGUAACGGCCCGCCAAGCCUAAGACGGGUAGGGGCCGUGAGAGCGGGAGCCCCCAGAUGGGCACUGAGACAAGGGCCCAGGCCCUACGGGGCGCACCAGGGGCGAAACCUCCGCAAUGGGUAUAUGCCUGACGGGGGGAC